rnacentral:rRNA from 1 species
CGGAGGGUGCGAGCGUUGUCCGGAAUCACUGGGCGUAAAGGGCGCGUAGGCGGCGCGAGCAGUCGGCGGUGAAAGCCCGGAGCUCAACUCCGGGUCGGCCGUCGAUACUCUCGUGCUUGAGCACUGUAGAGGCAGAUGGAAUUCCGGGUGUAGCGGUGGAAUGCGUAGAGAUCCGGAAGAACACCGGUGGCGAAGGCGGUCUGCUGGGCAGUAGCUGACGCUGAUGCGCGACAGCGUGGGGAGCAAACAGGAUUAGAUACCCUGGUAGUCCACGCCGUAAACGAUGGGCACUAGGUGCUUGGGGGAGCGACCCUCUGAGUGCCGGCGCUAACGCAUUAAGUGCCCCGCCUGGGGAGUACGGCCGCAAGGCUG